rnacentral:tRNA from 1 species
GCGCCCGUAGCUCAGUUGGAUAGAGCGCAGGACUCCGGAUCCUGAGGCCGAAGGUUCGAACCCUUUCGGGCGCACCA